rnacentral:tRNA from 2 species
GGGUGGUUAGCUCAGCGGAUAGAGCGCUUGCUUCACACGCAAGAGGUCACAGGUUCAAAUCCUGUAUCACCCA